GAAAACAGAAAAUACCACUCUCCCUCUCUGCAUCAAAACUCUCUCUCUCUCUCUCUCUCUCUCUCUCUCAAGUUCUUUGAAGCAAAGCUCUCUCCAUUUUCUGAAACACUUUCACUUUCAUUUUACAACACGUUAUCAGCACGAAUAGCUCUAGGAUUUGGAUUGCAGAUUGACAAGGGAAGAGGUGAAUAAUUCUUAGGUUGCAGAGAAAAGGCAGUUCAUCAUUCAAUCAACUUCACUCUACCAGCUCUACAAUCAAGUAGGUUUUUCCAAACAAAAAACCUAUUUUGCUGUUUCAUUUUACCUUCUGAUCUCUGUGUUCCAGUAUUUAUUUAAAAUAGUAAUUCAACUCCAAAAUUCACCAAAUUUUGUAUGCUGGAGCCCUUAUAUGUUUAGUGCAUCUCUGUAAAUUUUCGUAUUUUUCUGGGUAGUUUUGCUUAGUGUUUCAGUUCGUCUUUCGACUGUUGUUCAGUAUGAACUGCAGUCACGAUUUAUGACUUUUGUUGAAGCAUCUAGUUUAACUUAAUCCUCUAUGAGAGACACUUAUUUCUCUUGCACUAUAAUUGGCAUAAUUGAAUGAGUAAAAGGGAAAAUCAAUAGCUUUUAUUUUAGCUAUCAAUUCUUUUAUAUUGUGACAAAUAUCUAUAUAUACUUGUUUGGACUUUGUGAUAAUGAUACAUCUUCCCUUCAUUAUUUAUUAUAAUAAUGUUUUGUGGUGUUACCUGCUCAUAUUAAAUUUAAAUAUUUUACCCACUUAAAUUCUUUGCAUUAGAAUAUAUAUGUGCGGAAUGCAAGUACUUAACGAACCGGAAGUUCACACAUAAACAUUGAACCGGAAGUUCACACAUAAACAUUGAACCAAAAGUUCAUACAUAAAUAUUGAACCAGAAGUUCACAUGUAUCGAACCUGUAGUUUCGACAACACUGAAAGAUUAUGAACCUUUCCAAGUAGGCUCAUCCAAUUAGAUGCGAUGUCUAGACCAGCUUGAGCCCAGCAGGCCCAUUUUCCUUCCGCAAGACCGAGCAGCCCAACAGGCCUCACACACUAUUUGACUAGUGCAUGAAAGCCUGGGUCAUGAGCUCGCAGCUAAGCCCCGUACGUAUGCUUUAUUAUCAAGCCCACUCUUUCUUUGGUCCAGUAGAACCAAAUAAAAGGAAAAAUGAUUUGAUUCUAUUGAGAUUUGAACCCAGACAACGUCCAUGUCAUUAUGGCUAUUGUAAAUAAAUUCACCAUAUUUUAUAUGUGUAAUUAAUUGCCAGAAGCAUUUAUUCACAUAAUUGUGUGAUAAUUAAUAUGUUAUUUUACUAGCAUGCAAUUAAUAUCUCAAUUGAUUUGUGAUUUCCA